rnacentral:antisense_RNA from 2 species
CUUCACCGACCCCAGCCACAGCGGCCGGUCGCGCUCCUGGCCGUAGGUGGCCAGGAGCGCCUCGGCCUC